rnacentral:rRNA from 1 species
CCUACGGGGGGCGGCAGUGGGGAAUAUUGCGCAAUGGGGGGAACCCUGACGCAGCAACGCCGCGUGAAGGAAGAAGGUUUUCGGAUUGUAAACUUCUUUGAUGAGGGACGAAGUAAGUGACGGUACCUCAAAAACAAGCCACGGCUAACUACGUGCCAGCAGCCCCGGUC